GUGCCAGCAGCCGCGGUAAUACGUAGGGUGCGAGCGUUGUCCGGAAUUAUUGGGCGUAAAGAGCUCGUAGGCGGUUUGUUGCGUCGGCUGUGAAAACUUCACGCUUAACGUGGAGCCUGCAGUCGAUACGGGCAGACUUGAGUUCGGCAGGGGAGACUGGAAUUCCUGGUGUAGCGGUGAAAUGCGCAGAUAUCAGGAGGAACACCGGUGGCGAAGGCGGGUCUCUGGGCCGAUACUGACGCUGAGGAGCGAAAGCGUGGGGAGCGAACAGGAUUAGAAACCCUUGUAGUCC
rnacentral:rRNA from 1 species